UCUCCCAUUCCCCAUUUCCCCACCCAUGCUACUCUCAAAUCCCCAAUCCCCAUCCCAAAAUCCUCACCACCUCCGCCCCAAGAAUCCUCGCUGCCGACCGGCGCCGCCGUCUUCUCGCAGAGCAAGCAGUGAGCGCUACAACCGCCGUGUUGCCGAGCCAGCCAGCAUUGUCGCCUUCUUGCCUUACUUGCCAGCGACCCGGUGCCGCUUCGUCAUCGUCGAGCCAGCGGUGCCGCUCCCUUCCCUUGGAGCCACUAUUCUGCGCCACCUCCCUGUGGAGCCGACUGCCGCUGUCGUCUUCUCGUGGAGCCAAUAUAAUGGUCAGCACUGCCACCAACCAUCUCGUCCAUGGCCAUCUCCUCGCUUCUUGUGGCUGCUGCUCAUCGGCUCCUCCACACCUCUCCAAUUGUAGGUAUUUUACUGCUCAGAUUAGCUUUGCUUUGCUCUCUAUACAGUAACCGAUGUUUAUGACCAAGGGAGUAAACUACCACAAGUCUUCCAGGUUCUUCUCUCUGAAGAAAAUAACACAUUUAUCUGUGGUAACACCAUUUGUAAUUAUGAGCACAAAUUAUAUUCAAAGUAUUUUAGCAAUCGUUUAAUUUCUUUGGGAUAGCUCAGUUAUUAAUUUUGAAAAAGGAUGAAUGUCAUGUGUGCAUCCUCGCCAUUUAUCCAGUGGUUGGUCAUAAUGCAUAUGUUGACUGUGCAGAAAGAUCCUUAACACUGUUAUUGGCGCUCAUCAUUAUUUAGAUUCCUGCAGUCUUAAUAGUUCCCUUUGUCAGGCUAUAGAGUAUAGUAUUAUUCUAAUUUACAUAUACUCAUUUAGUUGCAAGCGUACAAUACGUUUUGUGUACCAACUAUUCUAUUGGAUUUGUAGAGCUACUUUUGAAAUAGAGGAUUUCUACAGCUACAUAUGCACAUUCUCCUA